rnacentral:rRNA from 1 species
UGAGUAACCUGCCUUAACUCUGAGAUAAGCCUGGGAAACUGGGUCUAAUACCGGAUA